rnacentral:rRNA from 1 species
UACGGAGGGUGCAAGCGUUGUUCGGAUUGAUUGGGCGUAAAGCGCACGUAGGCGGGUUUAUAAGUCGAAUGUGAAAGCCCCGGGCUUAACCUGGGAAUUGCAUCCGAAACUAUAAAUCUUGAAUGCUUAAGAGGUUGGUGGAAUUCCUGGUGUAGGAGUGAAAUCCGUAGAUAUCAGGAGGAAUAUCGGAGGCGAAGGCGGCCGACUGGUGAUGCAUUGACGCUGAGGUGCGAAAGUGCGGGGAGCAAACAGG